UAAAACCGAGGCACGCAGACUGUUAAUUCAGCCUGUCAUAACAGAGAGCUAUUUAUUUACUGCAGGGUUUACCCCAGCGUAUUGUGAGCCUGGCAGGCCACAACGCUAAGCAUUGCUUAUUUUUUUUUAAGUCUUUUUAAAAUGUUUGCAUUUUUUAAGACUUUGUAGUUUGUGUUCAGGUAUUAAUCUCCCAAUCUUUCAAUAACACAUAGUUAUCAAGUGACUUUUAAAAACGUCCUGUUAACUUUAAACACUUUUGAAAUCAAAAACACGAUGGGCCGCUGGAUGAAUGACUGCCUUAGCGCCCAACCACUGGGCUCAGCAAGUUUUCUGGGGGAAACGUUGUAGUGGUUUGUUAGUCGAACAUACAACUGAUGCGCUGCAGACAUGAUUUCUAUCCAGUGGCCUGUUACGGCCAGCGGGUGCUGAUCAGUUCACUUAUUUGUAUUUUUGUACGUUUUGUAACCCGACUUUAUCAAAAAA